rnacentral:rRNA from 1 species
UACGGGGGGGGCAAGCGUUGUUCGGAAUUACUGGGCGUAAAGCGCGCGCAGGCGGUCUUCCAAGUCAGUGGUGAAAGCCCGGAGCUCAACUCCGGAACUGCCAUUGAAACUGUAAGACUUGAGGAUGAGAGAGGUGAGUGGAAUUCCCAGUGUAGAGGUGAAAUUCGUAGAUAUUGGGAAGAACACCGGUGGCGAAGGCGGCUCACUGGCUCAUAUCUGACGCUCAGGCGCGACAGCGUGGGGAUCAAACAGG